GACAAACCCGGAUAAGCUGCUGAGGAGCCAAUGGAAUGGGCAGCGGAAGGACAUACUCUCACCUGCUGCAGCCUCUUCUCUGUCCGGCCAGGAAAAGUAUCAGAAAUGAUGAAAGCUGAGAGGCCAGCCUGGGAUGUAGACAGGGAAAAAGAAAUCUCUCCUGGAGCUGUGACUUCAGCAGGAUCUUUGGUCUCUGCUCAUUGUCAGCCCAGCACUGCUUAAUACAGAGAAAGCACAGGCCAUUUUGCUGAAAUCCUCUGAUGCUGGCCAGAUGAAGAACAAAACAAGCACUUGAUCCUUCAUGGGGCCACGGGAGGCCUCUGCCAGAGGAGAGUACUAUAGCCCAACCUGACUUUGAUCACAUGACUAUCCUCGUGUCUGCUGCUUUCAGUCUGGGCAAACUAAUGAAAGAACCCAGGUAGAUGCUUCUCCUCAGCCUGGGUGGAAAUUCAAACCAUAUAAAUACCACUUGCAAGGAGGAACUUUCAUCCCCUCUUCAUCCUUCUGCUACCGUGAAACGCUUCUACCCCUAUGACAGAG